GACGAACGCUGGCGGCGUGCUUAACACAUGCAAGUCGAGCGGAAAGGCCACUUCGGUGGUACUCGAGCGGCGAACGGGUGAGUAACACGUGAGUAAUCUGCCCCUGGCUUUGGGAUAGCCACCGGAAACGGUGAUUAAUACCGGAUACGACCACUUCUCGCAUGGGAUGGUGGUGGAAAGUUUUUUCGGCCAGGGAUGUGCUCGCGGCCUAUCAGCUUGAUGGUGAGGUAAUGGCUCACCAUGGCUUCGACGGGUAGCCGGCCUGAGAGGGUGACCGGUCACACCGGGACUGAGACACGGCCCAGACUCCUACGGGAGGCAGCAGUGGGGAAUAUUGGACAAUGGGCGGAAGCCUGAUCCAGCAACGCCGCGUGAGGGAUGACGGCCUUCGGGUUGUAACCCUCUUUCAGCAGGGACGAAGCGCAAGUGACGGUACCUGCAGAAGAAGCACCGGCCAACUACGUGCCAGCCGCCGCAGUAA
rnacentral:rRNA from 1 species